GGAGUUGUGGCUCAGUGGUGGAGUGCUCACCUAGCACGUGAGAGGCCCUGAGUUCUAUUCUCAGCACCA
rnacentral:tRNA from 1 species